rnacentral:rRNA from 1 species
UGGGGAAUUUUGGACAAUGGGCGAAAGCCUGAUCCAGCCAUGCCGCGUGAGUGAAGAAGGCCUUCGGGUUGUAAAGCUCUUUUAGUCGGAAGGAAAGAGUUGCAAUGAAUAAUUGUGAUUUAUGACGGUACCGACAGAAAAAGCACCGGCUAACUACGUGCCAGCAGCCGCGGUAAUACGUAGGGUGCGAGCGUUAAUCGGAAUUACUGGGCGUAAAGGGUGCGCAGGCGGUUUUGUAAGUCAGAUGUGAAAUCCCCGGGCUUAACCUGGGAAUUGCGUUUGAAACUGCAAGACUAGAGUGCAGCAGAGGGGAGUGGAAUUCCAUGUGUAGCAGUGAAAUGCGUAGAGAUGUGGAAGAACACCGAUGGCGAAGGCAGCUCCCUGGGUUGACACUGACGCUCAUGCACGAAAGCGUGGGGAGCAAACA